AGUCAAUAGAUACCCGGGUAGUCCCAGCUGUAAACGAUGCAGACUCGGUGAUGAGUUGGCUACAUGCCAUCUCAGUGCCGCAGGGAAGCCGUUAAGUUUGCCGCCUGGGGAGUACGGUCGCAAGACUGAAACUUAAAGGAAUUGGCGGGGAGCACCACAAGGGGUGAAGCCUGCGGUUCAAUUGGAGUCAACGCCGGAAAUCUUACCGGGGGCGACAGCAGUAUGAAGGUCAAGCUGAAGACUUUACCAGACAAGCUGAGAGGAGGUGCAUGGCCGUCGCCAGCUCGUGCCGUGAGGUGUCCUGUUAAGUCAGGUAACGAGCGAGACCCCUGCCUCUAGUUGCUACCUUUACUCUCAGGAGUAGUGGAGCUAAUUAGAGGGACUGCCGUCGCUGAGACGGAGGAAGGAGGGGGUCGUACGGCAGGUCAGUAUG
rnacentral:rRNA from 1 species